AUCAAAGAUGAGGAGAAUCAGAGCUGUCGCCGCCAUCAAUCUCCUCACCAUUCUCUUGCUCCCAUUACUCCUCCCUGCCUCUGCCGAUGAGUUCUUGAGAAUCGGUCUCAAGAAGAAGCCGUUAGAUCAGACGAACCGCGAGGCAGCUCGGAUCGCUGCCACCUCUGCCGAUGAAUUCUCGAGAAUCGGUCUCAAGAAGAAGCCGUUAGAUCAGACGAACCGCGAGGCAGCUCG
rnacentral:misc_RNA from 1 species